rnacentral:lncRNA from 1 species
GCGAGGUGGAGGGGGAGAGCACGUUUACCAAGCUCCGGGUGGUUCUCUUGUGAAAUUUGCAGCUGGCCCUCUGGACUUUGGCCUGAGCCCUCACCUGUCUCGCUAAGCCUGCGUGGCACUCGAGCAACCUCCUUUAUUUAUUUUUAAAUAAAACGACAGGAGAGAUUGUUCAGCGUUAUUUUUGUUUUAACGGUGGCAGCGAUGCUCUUUCCAGCUUUCUGCAUCCUAAGCUGAAACCGAAGUCCUUGCUUCUCGUCUUCAUUGAGAAAACAGCCAAGAAAUUGUCUUUGCUUAUUAAGGUUUAAAUAGAUAGCAACUAAGCAAUCAGAGGCAAACAUCAAAGGAAAAAGAAAUCCUGGUUAUCUGUUUAUAUUGUUAAGAAUUCAAAUUCAGAAAACAAAAACCAUCUGUAAAAAAUUUGAAUAAUAUACAUUUUCGGGAUUGAGGAAACGAAC